ensembl:snoRNA SNORA63 Small nucleolar RNA SNORA63
CAGCAGGACAUGUACAGCCCAGCUGUGUCGGUGCUGGUCGGUCGUUCCCUCUGCUGAAAUCAAACUGUUUCCUACUAUCCCUGUCUGUCUGCAUCCCACGACUUACAGGGACGCUGGUCUCAAGACAU